CAGAGCUUGCCCUUCCCUGCAGCUGAUGUUCCCAGCCCAUUUGGGAUAACACCCCUAAAUGGAAAGUCAAUUUGUGACUUGGAUCACCUCUUCUCCCAAAGAGGGAACACCCUACUCCUCGGAUUAUUUUGAAGCAAAAUCGUGACACUCUGUAUACACCAUAUAUAUUUCUAAAAGCAAGCUCUGAAUCCAAUGAGAGGUGUUCGUAUAACAGAAAGUCAAAGAAAAAUUUGGAAGAUUCAGAGAAGGAGGCAAUGUAAAGACAAAGGCAGAGAUUGAAGCGUCGUGUCUGUAAGCCAAGGAAUACCAAGGAUUGCCAGCAGCCACCAGACCUUGGAGAGAGGCAUGGUAUAGAUUCCCCUUGGAGCCUCCAGAGGAAACCAACCUUGCUGACACCUUCGUUUUAGAUUUCUAGCCCCCAGUCCUGUGAACAGAAUAAAUAUCUGUAGU